GACGAACGCUGGCGGCGUGCUUAACACAUGCAAGUCGAACGAAAAGAGGGAAAGAGCUUGCUCUUUCCGGAAUUGAGUGGCAAACGGGUGAGUAGCACGUAAACAACCUGCCUUCAGGAUGGGGACAACAGACGGAAACGACUGCUAAUACCGAAUAAGUUCCAAGGGCCGCAUGGCCCAUGGAAGAAAAGGUGGCCUCUACCUGUAAGCUAUCGCCUGAAGAGGGGUUUGCGUCUGAUUAGCUGGUUGGAGGGGUAACGGCCCACCAAGGCGACGAUCGGUAGCCGGACUGAGAGGAGGGACGGCCACACUGGGACUGAGACACGGUCCAGACGCCUACGGGAGGCAGCAGUGGGGAAUCUUCCGCAAUGGGCGAAAGCCUGACGGAGCAACGCCGCGUGAGUGAUGACGGCCUUCGGGUUGUAAAACUCUGUGAUCCGGGACGAAAAGGCAGAGUGCGAAGAACAAACUGCAUUGACGGUACCGGAAAAGCAAGCCACGGCUAACUACGUG
rnacentral:rRNA from 1 species